rnacentral:rRNA from 1 species
UACGUAGGGUGCAAGCGUUGUCCGGAAUUAUUGGGCGUAAAGAGCUCGUAGGUGGUUUGUCGCGUUGUCCGUGAAAACUCACAGCUCAACUGUGGGCGUGCGGGCGAUACGGGCAGACUGGAGUACUGUAGGGGAGACUGGAAUUCCUGGUGUAGCGGUGGAAUGCGCAGAUAUCAGGAGGAACACCGGUGGCGAAGGCGGGUCUCUGGGCAGUAACUGACGCUGAGGAGCGAAAGCGUGGGGAGCGAACAGG